rnacentral:lncRNA from 1 species
AGACAGUUCACUUCUCAGCUCUAAAUGCAUCCCACGAAUUUUUAAAUUAUUUAAAAAAAAAUGCUUUAAUUGUUGACUUAUGGGGACUUCAAGAGGGGUGCACUGAAUUGGACUACUCCCUACAAGACAUGGUCACAAAUGAGGGCACCAUUAUAGUUGACAAUCCAAAAACUGUGAUUGCAAAGAAUAUUGGUCUGGGCACAACUAACCAGAUAUCUGAUCUUUACCUGAAGCUGCUGAAGUUGGAAGAGGAGACUGAGCUUCUCAGAGAUAUUAACAGAGCUUUAAGGGAAGAAAAUGUAUUUCUUAAAGAUAAACUGAAGAAAUGGGAGACAGGACACCAUGAAAGUCAGUGCAAACCAUAAAAU